AAAUUUAGUUAUGACUAACUUACUUCACCAGAUGCAAGGAAAUAUUACUGAUAAACUGUUUAUACUAUUGAAGAUUCUACGUGGAUGCGGUACCCAUUAGAGUCUACAAGAACAACGAAGCAAAAGGAAUUCCAUUCCCCAAAUUCCAACCCAUGGGAGUGUACUCAACAUUGUGGGAAGCCGACGACUGGGCAACGAGAGGUGGAUUAGAGAAAAUAAAUUGGAGCAAAUCCCCAUUUUACGCAUAUUACAAGGACUUUGACAUAGAGGGAUGUGCAAUGCCAGGACCAGCAAACUGUGCCUCAAAUCCUCGCAAUUGGUGGGAAGGAGCUAAUUACCAACAACUCAGUGCUGCGGAAGCAAGGCAAUAUCGCUGGGUUAGAAUGAACCACAUGAUCUAUGAUUAUUGCACCGACAAAUCCAGAAAUCCAGUCACCCCACCAGAAUGUGUGGCUGGAAUAUGAAACUUUACAUCAACUGUUAAUUAUUUAUACAUAUUCAUUCCUACUUAUAGAUAUCCGUACAUGUGACCCUACAAAAGAAAAUUGUUAUAUUUGUAUUGAUAUGGACAGUCAUGCUCAUGUCUGGAUGCUCGGUGAUAUUGUGAACGUGAGAUGAGUACUAAGAUUAAGGAGUGGGAAAAAGUCAGAUGUUUAUUGCUGUAAUAUAUAUAUUGAUGUUGUUUGUAUUUGCUGUACACUGUACGAGAGCCAAUAAUGUUUCUUCUUGUUUGCUUAAGAAAUGUGAAAAGGAUGUGAUGUUUAUUCCUCUUUUGUCUAAAUGAUUUUCAACCUCGAAGUAAAUUGCUACUCAUCAAGUUCUGAUUUUGC
rnacentral:lncRNA from 1 species